GACGUAGGGGGCCAGCGUUGUUCGGAAUUACUGGGUGUAAAGGGUUCGUAGGCGGUGUAGCAAGUCGGGAGUGAAAUCUCUGGGCUUAACCCAGAGGCUGCUUCCGAAACUGCUGUGCUUGAGUGUGGGAGAGGCGCGUGGAAUUGCAGGUGUAGCGGUGAAAUGCGUAGAUAUCUGCAGGAACACCCGUGGCGAAAGCGGCGCGCUGGACCACUACUGACGCUGAAGUGCGAAAGCUAGGGGAGCGAACGGG
rnacentral:rRNA from 1 species